GGGCCCGCACAAGCGGUGGAGCAUGUGGUUUAAUUCGAUGAUACGCGAGGAACCUUACCAGGGCUUAAAUGUAGUCUGACAGGGGUAGAAACACCCCCUCCUUCGGGCAGAUUACAAGGUGCUGCAUGGUUGUCGUCAGCUCGUGCCGUGAGGUGUCAGGUUAAGUCCUAUAACGAGCGCAACCCCUGCCGUUAGUUGCCAGCAUGUAAUGAUGGGAACGUCUAACGGGACUGCCGGUGCAAACCGCGAGGAAGGUGGGGAUGACGUCAAAUCAUCACGGCCCUUACGUCCUGGCUACACACGUGCUACAAUGGCCGGUACAGAGAGCAGCCACUUCGCAAGAAGGAGCG
rnacentral:rRNA from 1 species